CACAGGUUUCCAAAACUGGACCCAUCAUUGCCCUCUAAAACCAUUUGUCUGACGGAAAUGACAUCAGCAUGCACUCAUCUCCUCACAUCUUGAGUCAUCCUGGACUUCAGUCGUUUUUCCUUUCAUUACUCAAACACAAAUGAGAAGAAGGAACUCCUAGUACGGCAGCUCUGGGUGCAGCAGCAGCUCCAAGUCCACGAAGCUGUGACUGCCCACUUCUCCAGGCAUCAUCACCCCAGGUGCACACAUUUCCACCUCUUUUGGGCAAACAUCAAGGAGUCUUAUUAUUGGAUUACUGGGUAAGAGUAUGUUUAACUUGUAAGAAAUUUCUGGACUGUCUUCUAAAAUGACUGUACUAUUUUGCAUUCCCAUCAGCAGUGAAGGAAAGUUCCUGUUC
rnacentral:lncRNA from 1 species